UCUAAAUAGCUGUGUAGGUGUGGUCCAGG
rnacentral:piRNA from 1 species